AAUUAUGUUACUGUUGGCAAAGAGGCAAAAACUCAUUCUUCCCUUUCCCUGUGGUAAAAAUCCUUAAUGGUUUUGAAUUUAAACAAAGACCAAAUGUAUACAUCUCCCCACCCACUUGCCCCCGCCAGUGUUUACAACAAAAAUCAGGCACUUUUCUCCUUUUUAAAAAUUAGCUUACAGGAGCCCUUCUGGUCUCAUUCACCCUUUUCCUACUCAGCUCCUCAAACGUGUCUAUCAAGUGGUCCCUUCUUGCUUCAACUGUUCCCAUUUUAUUCCCGGUUCUCAGAGCCAUUCACAACUGACCAUUUAGCACCCCAGUCCCUGGGAACCCAGUCUGAAGCAGAGAAGCACCAUCAUCGACUGUCCAAAUCAAAAUGGCUCAUAGCCACAGUUAACAAACAAGUAUCUGAAUAAGAACAUAUAUGUGAAUCCUUGAAACAGGAUAAACAUUCAACUAAAGAACCAAGUACUUAUAUGAAAUAGACCCAGGUACAUGUAAUCAUACCUGGGUAGUUAUGUAAGACUAGUUAAUAAAAGGUGUUGGUUAGCUAUUUGGGAGAAAGAAAAAAUCUAGAUCUCUACCUCUCUGCUUAUAAAAAAACCAAACUCCAGGUAGAAUCAUGAGUCCUAGAAGAAUAUAUAAACAAAUAAUUUUAUACCACAGGGACAGAAAAGCUUUUAAAAAAAUUUUUUUAAUGUUCAUAUAUCAUUGAGAGAGAGACAGACAGACACACACACACACACACACACAUACACACGACGUGUGAGCAGGGAAGGGGCAGACAGAGAGGGAGACACAGAAUCUGAAGCAGGCUCUGAACUGUCAGCACAGAGUCUGACAUGGGGUUCGAACUCACAAAGCCUGACCCAGGGCAGGGCUUGAACUCACCAACUGUGAGAUAAUGACCUGAGCCCAAGUCAGAUGCUUAACUGACUGAGCCACCCAGAAAAGCUCUUUCUAAACAGGACAUCAAAAACUGAAACUAUAAAGGAGUGAGACAUCUGGCUGGCAUUUGCACAAGAAUGUGGGGCCAAGGUGAAGAGGAUCUGAGGAGGCAAGGACGUCUCAAGCCACAAAGGGCCUUCACAAGGCAUGUGACUGACAUCUCAUGACAUGGUACAGAUCCGAAGUGGCUAACAACACCUCUGUCCUAACAUUUCAUUAAAAGACAAGGAAUAGUGUGGA